rnacentral:tRNA from 1 species
GGGAAAAUACUUUAUUUAUAGAAGAAUUAGUUUGCAAUUAAUAAGAGAAUUUUUUUCUUUUUCCA